CAAUAGCGUAUAUUAAAGUUGUUGCAGUUAGAACGCUCGUAGUCGGAUUUCGGGGCGGGCCGACCGGUCUGCCGAUGGGUAUGCACUGGUCGGCGCGUCCUUCCUUCCGGAGACCGUCCCUACUCUUAACUGAGCGGGGGCGGGAGACGGGACUUUUACUUUGAAAAAAUCAGAGUGUUUCAAGCAGGCAGCUCGCUCUUGCAUGGAUUAGCAUGGGAUAAUGAAAUAGGACUUUGGUGCUAUUUUGUUGGUUUCGAGCACCGAAGUAAUGAUGAGAAGGGACAGUCAGGGGCACUCGUAUUCCGCCGAGAGAGGUGAAAUUCUCAGACCAGCGGAAGACGAACCACUGCGAAAGCAUUUGCCAGGGAUGUUUUCACUGA
rnacentral:rRNA from 1 species